UAUAUUUCCUCUUCUACUCCUUUGUGUCUUGACGUGUCAUGUGGAGUAAAUACAGUAUAAGCUGCCAGAGACGUUGUUUGGAAAAUGUGUAACCGAGCAAUUAUGCGUGUUCCUUUCAUCUGUCAACUAGAUGAUCUUCAGAUCAACUUCCAGACGGACCAGACACACAUG